AAAAUGCGAUAAGUCAUGUGACUUGCAGAUACCAGUGAAUCAUCGAAUUUUUGAACGCAUACGCACUCUAAUGCUUUGCAUGGAGUAUGUCUGUUUGAGAGUCGCAUAUAAUAAAAAUCAACUCAAUUCUAUUAUUAUUGUAAUUAUAUUGAGUUUGAACAAUAAAAUAUGAAUGUCCAUAAAUGAAUGGUCAUUUUAAAUAUAUUCAAAUCAUGUUUUGAUUAUAUUUGUCUUUUGAAUUUAGAGUGUUUAAAACACAACUUUAUUCAAAUUCAAUUAUAUUUAUCUUUACAUAUUGGAAUCAUAUUCUAACAACGACAUCAAAUCAGGCAAGAUCACCCGCUGAAUUUAA
rnacentral:misc_RNA from 1 species